UACAUGGACGAAAACGGAUUGGGCUGAGGAUAAAAGCCCUAAGCAAAGUUAAUAGUCUACAAAACCCUAACAAUAACAAAAAACGUUUGCCUCCCCUGUUUCCAACUCUCAGUUUCUGUUGUACACGGCUGAAACUCCCACCUCCAAUUUUUUAGUUCUCUCCUACUCUAAACAACAAACCAACCACGACAUUCAUAACAACAACGGCAAAGGAUUCGCAAAAAUUAAUCAAUCACAACAAAGAAAAUCAAUCCUCAUACAAGAAUUCUCAACCUAACUCUCUAAAUCAACCAAAACUUAAAUCGAAAGAUGAAUUCUAUGCGGUACAAAAGAGCGAUAAAGAUAAGAGAGUUACCGAGUUUAAACAGCUUCGACGGCUACCUCGAGGACGACUUUGAUGUUGUUGGUGUUCUAUUGAGUGGAUGCGGUAUUGCUCGCGAGGAGGGAUGAGAACCGUGAGAAAAGCUCGUCGUGAGGGGAGAGAACUCAGGAACGGAGCUGCUUCUCGAGGAGGUCGACGGCUGCGCGUUGGAUGCGAUUUGACGGUGAAGAUGAUGUUCGUGUUGCCGUCGAUGACGAUCUGAGCGAGUUGAUGCGGUGUGAUCCUUGAUGUCGCGUUCCUCCUUUUGCGAUGAUUGUUCUUUUGUAACCUGUUGUCCUUUUAUUUUUCUACAAAACAAAAAAACAGUGAACAAAGAUGAUGGUUGUUGUUCUAUUUUAUUUUUCUGCAACACAAACAACAGUCACAGUUACUAUAAAGUUGUACAAGCAAUUGAAUUGAUUUGUGUUUAUUAUUAUUUUUGUUAAA